GACGAACGCUGGCGGCGUGCUUAACACAUGCAAGUCGAGCGGUAAGGCCCUUUCGGGGGUACACGAGCGGCGAACGGGUGAGUAACACGUGGGUGACCUGCCCUCAGCUCUGGGAUAAGCCUGGGAAACCGGGUCUAAUACCGGAUAUGACUCCAUGACGCAUGUUGUGGGGUGGAAAGCCUUGUGCGGCUGAGGAUGGGCCCGCGGCCUAUCAGCUUGUUGGUGGGGUGAUGGCCUACCAAGGCGACGACGGGUAGCCGGCCUGAGAGGGCGACCGGCCACACUGGGACUGAGACACGGCCCAGACUCCUACGGGAGGCAGCAGGU
rnacentral:rRNA from 1 species